rnacentral:lncRNA from 10 species
AUGCGUCUCUCCCUUGCUCUCUCUCUGUCUCUCAGAUUCGAAGAAUGGUAUUGGGUGAGAGAUACACGGCACAAGGUUUGGAAAUUUUAAGGCUAAAGGUAGCACUUCAAACCAUGGGUGUGGAUAAACUUGCUCAGAGAGUUCAGGGAAUAGAAGACAAAAGAGGCAAGAAUAGAACCCUGAGGACCAAUUUACAAUGGAUAAGAAGAGGACAAAGAGCUCAAGGAAAAGAUAAAGGGGAUGACCAGAGACGUAGGAUGAAAUCCAUGAGGAGCAGCGUUACAGAGGCCUAGGGAGGAGGCAGUUUCAAGGUGGAGCGGUCAGCAAUCUCAAGUGUCAAAAGAAGGUCAUGAAUAAGGGUUCAAAAGUAUCCACUGGAUUAGGUACCUGGAAGGUCACUGGUGAGUUGAAAGCUGUUUCACUGGCAUGGUAGACCUGAAGCUGGAGUGCAGUGGGUGAGCAAUACACCAGUUAGAACAGGAUAGAAAUCAUGCUGCAUAGCUGAAGGGGAGGAUAGGGUUGAGGAAGAGGGGUGUGUGAGUUUUAGCAAUAACAGAUUAGGAGAGAUUUAAGCAUGCUGAGGGCAAGAACCAGCAGAGAAAAAAGGCUAAAGAGACAAGAGGGAGAUGGGUGACUAAGCCUGGUUCUUUAGGCAUUGUGAGGGGUGGCAACUGGAGCAGAGAGGAAAGGGCUAGCCUCAGGAGCACCAAAACCCAAGAGGAAGGGCUGAAGUGGUUUCAAGAGCUAUGGAUUUACAGCAGCGAUUUAUACCUGUGAGCAUGGCAGCCAGGGUGAGCAUCUCGUCCACACAGUCAAACUCGCAUGAGGCCAGCAGGGCUUUGGCCAGCUCAGGGGCCAGAGGGAA